AUACGUAGGGGACAAGCGUUGUCCGGAAUGACUGGGCGUAAAGGGCGCGUAGGCGGUCUAUUAAGUCUGAUGUGAAAGGUACCGGCUCAACCGGUGAAGUGCAUUGGAAACUGGUAGACUUGAGUAUUGGAGAGGCAAGUGGAAUUCCUAGUGUAGCGGUGAAAUGCGUAGAUAUUAGGAGGAACACCAGUGGCGAAGGCGGCUUGCUGGACAAAUACUGACGCUGAGGUGCGAAAGCGUGGGGAGCGAACAGGAUUAGAUACCCUGGUAGUCCACGCCGUAAACGAUGAAUGCUAGGUGUUGGGGAAACUCAGUGCCGCAGUUAACACAAUAAGCAUUCCGCCUGGGGAGUACGACCGCAAGGUUGAAAUUCAAAUGAAUUGACGGGG
rnacentral:rRNA from 1 species